AGCACAGGAGAGCUUGCUCUCUGGGUGGCGAGUGGCGGACGGGUGAGGAAUACAUCGGAAUCUACCUUUUCGUGGGGGAUAACGUAGGGAAACUUACGCUAAUACCGCAUACGACCUACGGGUGAAAGUGGGGGACCGCAAGGCCUCACGCGAUUAGAUGAGCCGAUGUCCGAUUAGCUAGUUGGCGGGGUAAUGGCCCACCAAGGCGACGAUCGGUAGCUGGUCUGAGAGGAUGAUCAGCCACACUGGAACUGAGACACGGUCCAGACUCCUACGGGAGGCAGCAGUGGGGAAUAUUGGACAAUGGGCGCAAGCCUGAUCCAGCCAUACCGCGUGGGUGAAGAAGGCCUUCGGGUUGUAAAGCCCUUUUGUUGGGAAAGAAAUCCUGUCGAUUAAUACUCGGUGGGGAUGACGGUACCCAAAGAAUAAGCACCGGCUAACUUCGUGCCAGCAGCCGCGGUAAUACGAAGGGUGCAAGCGUUACUCGGAAUUACUGGGCGUAAAGCGUGCGUAGGUGGUGGUUUAAGUCUGCUGUGAAAGCCCUGGGCUCAACCUGGGAAUUGCAGUGGAUACUGGAUCACUAGAGUGUGGUAGAGGGAUGCGGAAUUUCUGGUGUAGCAGUGAAAUGCGUAGAGAUCAGAAGGAACAUCCGUGGCGAAGGCGGCAUCCUGGGCCAACACUGACACUGAGGCACGAAAGCGUGGGGAGCAAACAGGAUUA
rnacentral:rRNA from 1 species